rnacentral:lncRNA from 1 species
GCUCAGAAGAGAAAUUGAAAUGAGAGGAGGGAGGAAAGAAACAAAAAGGAGGAUGUAUCUCCUUUCAUAUCUGUAACGACUAUUUAAUGUUCAUGCUGCUCUUAAGACAUUUUAAACACUAGCAUUAAGGUUGGGCUGCUGUUCCCCAGCACAAAGCAUGAGUUGCCUUGCAUACAAAAGCAUGGCUCACUUUCCACAUGGGGAUGUGUACUUACAUAAAUCUCCGUAUAUUUAUGUUCUUAAAUCUCAGCUUCAGCCCUCCUGUCUUGUCUGCUCAUCCCAUCACCUCCUCCCUUUCCUCAUGUGGGAUGCGGAUGUUGUGAGCAGAUGUUGAGAUUGGAACAUCGAUUUUCUAUUCUCCCUCACAAAUGAACAGGAGAUUGCUUUUAAAGAUAUUAAAUGGACACAGGUGGGACUGUAAACUUAAGUGCCUCCACAUACAACAUCUGCUGCGUGUUCUCCAGUCUCUGUUAUCUUUAUAGCAGAACUUGAUCUCUUAACCCCUUCGCAACUGCCCCCUCAGUAUUUGUGCAAAGAUGUGCAACGGUUUUUCUUUGAUAUUCAGAGAAGUCACAAUGGAUCUCUGUGAUGUGACUGGCAUCUGGCAUAGUGCUUUGAAAAGCAAUGUGCUUAGCAAUUUGCACAGGUGGGUGGGGGAAGAAGACAAGUGUUGUCCAGGUGUUUCCAGUCUUGCUGCAGAUAAGAGGAUUCCAGAAGUACCACAGUACAGCAAAUACCCCUAUUCUCCCUUCUCCUUCCCUCCCUCCUUCACUCCCCCUGCCCAGAAAAUGUCUGUCUUGGGGAAAGAGUAUAUUUCUAAGGAUAUUCCAAACCAUUUGAGAACUGUGGCAUUUUCCUUUGAAGUCCGAAUGAAGUCACAGUGGAUCCUUGCGCUGGAGCUUCAAGCUGGCUGCCAGAGCAGUCCCAGCUUUCACCUGGAGGACCUGCCCAGGAUAGAGUCUACUGGGCAGCGAGGACGCAGCCACUGCCUGCUCCCAGAGAUGGGAUUUGGAAAUGCUCCUGAGUUCUGCAGCCUAGAUGUCUCCUCUGCUACUCUUUGUGUGCGGUGCCCUGAACAAUGGCAUUUUUCUUAACUGUUCUUGCUUGGCCCCUUGGCAAUCUUGUAAUUUAAGUAAAUAAUUUUCUAAGAACAUAUGCCUGGCUGUCAUUUACAGGAUAAACACUGCUCAUGAACACUUUACAUUUCUAACAACUACAUCUGUGUUUUUGGUUUGGUAUUAGGAAAAAAAAAAUGUAGUCAUGACUUACGGGACAGUUAUGUCUGAAAACAACUGCUGGUACUGGGGUAAUAACUGGAUGAUAUUUUCGGAACUUUAUUUCAGACAUCAAGAAAUGACUGUGGCUAUUGUGAGAGAGAGCAUUUCCAGAGAGAGAAUUAAUUCAGCAUAAUUUUGAGUGGUACCUUGUAACAAAGCAAAUUUUGAUGGGAAGAAGAGAAAUACCUCCCUUACUGUAAACCCUGUGAGAGAUGGCAAAGCCUCCCGUUCAUCAGAGUAAAUGCCUUAGGUCAAAAAAGGCUUAGUAUGUACAGAGAGGCAUAAUUUCUGUUAUCCUCCUGUCCUGAAUCUGGCCCUUUUAGCCGUAACAAAAAUUCUAAGCCACCCCAUACUUUUUGGAUUACUUUAAACCCCAUCACAGUGCUUUUCUUAAAGCACUUUAUUUUGAAUAGGAAUGGCUCCAUGAAAGGACUCUGAUAUGGGCUGAAACUGAAUCAGUUUCAAGGAAAUGCAGCUGGAAGCACACUAAUCUAAAAGCUUCCCAAGCAAAGCAGCACAGGCGUCUAUUCUACAGGGUGUCUCCGCCCCUAGCUAAAGUGCACCAGGACUUUCUGAGCUCCUUUAACUCUUGCACUGCGGCACUGCUUCACAGGCAAUAUUCAUG